rnacentral:lncRNA from 1 species
CCUUUAAUUUGUCUUCCAGAGUCCUCAAUGCCAGCUUAAACUUGUAUGCUUGCAGGAAGGACAACUUGCAGAAAAGGUUAUAAUAAAUACAGUUAAUACUGCUACCACGUACUAGAGGAAAUGCAGUCACCUACUGCUCUUCCUUGAUGCCGCCCUGGUCACUCUCGGCAUAGGUGCCAUCCAUGAGCUUCCUGGUAUAAUUCUUCUCCCCAUUGCAUCUCUGUUUCAAAGUAAACAUAACAAAGGUCAGGACGGAGAUAAUUAAGUAUCCUAAUAUCAAAUGGACAACAAAGACGACUGGCUAGUACAAUGACAGGAAAAUAUUACGUACGCUAGAAAGUCAAAAUGGCAUUUAUUUUUAAACUCCAGGGGUAUAGGUUAAAUGUCUUGAUAUCGCAUACAUGCAACUUUCCACUAUACAGCACUGCAGUAAAACAAACCUCUAAUCGUAGAAGAACAAAUGACAAGCAAUCACAAGUUAGCCACAGUCAACUUGUAGCAUUGUCCACUGGAAGGAAAAUUUUCACUACGAUAUAUCUGAAUUAGGAACCAUGCAUAAGAAAUAUACAAUCCACUAAACAAGCAUCCUUCCAAUAUAUACAUCAUCAUACUGAAAAAAAAUUCUACUUUUGUAGUCCAAACAUUUUAGUUUCGCAUUUAAGUGCGACUGAUAGUUUAGAGAACAGUGAUGCAGCAGAAUGAUGGUCCAAGCUAAGAUAACAAACAAGCCAUUUUUCACCGCCACCAUGAAUUUACUACUCCCUUCGUCCCGAAUUACUUGUCUUAGAUUUGGUCUAGAUACGGAUGUAUCUAGACACGUUUUAGUGCUAGAUACAUCUGUAGCUAGACAAAUCUAAGACAGUAAAUUGGGACAGAGGUAAUAUUAUGAAACUGUGAGAAGAACAAAUUCAGAAGAAUGCCAUACGUUGUGGAACACAAGUGUUAACAGAAGUAACCAUUCCCAGUAUCCUGCCUGUCGUAGUAUCAUACUUCAGUACAUGUCAAGCAAACGACAAUGACAGCCAUCGACACUAUCGAAUCUAAUUCUCUAACUAGUCUUGAGUCCAUAUAAAUCCUUCCAUUCUCUAAGAGCAUCUACAGCCGGACUCCCCAAAUUGACCAGGCGGACGCAGGACCACUGACCUGACAGGAGAGAGAAGGAAAAAGUUGAUCCAACCGGACCCCACUCAAAGCCUCCCUAAACGUCCGGGCUGUCCAACAGUCCUCAUAUUGCCCCCAUUUAUCAACAGAACAAACACCUAAAGAAUGUGGAGGACCUAUGACAUGCAUGUGUCGAUUCCUACGACACUGUGCAUACUGAUAAUGCAUAAAUCAACAUGUCUAAUUUUGCAAUAUUUGUAUAGACUCAGUGGCUCCAUGUUUAUGUUGUUUAUUUUUUUCGUUAAACAUUAUAAUGCUACAAUGGAUAUAAAAAGUAAAAAUUUUGUUCCAAAGUCAUUAUAUAUGUCACACAUGGAAGCUUUUCAAAAUGUUCUCAUACAUAAAAUAAAGCAUACACAAAUUCUACCUUGGAAAACUGUCACCCCUUUCUGCAACAAGAUGUUGCAGUCUUGACGAAGCAAAUAUAUUUUUCAACCAAUACAAAAUUCUAAGCUAUGGUGUCAUGAUGUGCCCAGCCUGUAAAAACGAUGGAUGGGUGUCUCACCCUCUUCUUCUUUCAAUAUAAGAUACGCAUACUCAUGCGUAUUCUAGAAAAAAAAUCGAAGCUAUUAUCUUUAUACAUACAGUUUGCAUGGGCCAUCUAAAAAUAUGUUUCAUGGGACCAUUCUUGCUGACAGCUUCUUCUUUGUUGAGACUAGGGAGAUGCAUUUAAGAUAUUUACUACUCCCUCCGUCCCAUAAUAUAAGAGCGUUUUUGACACUACUAUAUUUUAUGGGACGGAGGGAGUAGUAUCCAGAAUUUGUUAUCUGACCAUUAACGCAAACUACUCAUUUCACUAAGGAAUUAGGAGUCAAUUACUUGAUAUGACUGUUUAAAGCUCCACAGUUCACUUCACUAAGGAUAGGAGAAGUCGGUUAGUUGAUCUGACUGUUUACAGCUCCGCAAUUUUUCAGAAUAUCCUAGCUCUCUUCAGAUUCAGAUAUCUGAAUGACUAUCAUGAUACGCAAAAAGGAUGUGAAUUCUGAAAUGCAUGUUGUUAUAUGUUCUUAAACAUUUAACAAGCUUAGGAAAAACAUCGUCAAGCUUGUGACAAGAAAAGAUGCGAAAACUCGCCAUUAUUAUCAUCCCUUGAUCUUUUAGGCUUGUUUAAGGAAAUAAGCACGGCAAGAUCACUUCAGGCAAAAUGUGCAACAACUGCAGCUGAAGCCUGAUUUUGAAGAUUGCAAGUUGGUAGGGCGUCAGUUGUCAUUAGGAUCGGUCCACCUUUGCCAUGUACUAAUUUUCAUAUAUAUUAUUUAUUACGAGUUGUUCUUUUACUUGAUUUUAGCAUCUGUUGGCAGUCCUUAUACCAAAAAAAUAGCAAGCGUCAAAUAUAUUGUGAACAAAUCAUGUUAGAAUUUUUCUUUUCACUGCACUAUUCCUUAGUACAAAUGAUACCCAAGCAGAUUCUUUGCCUUAGGGGCCCGUCAUAUUUAAAGGGACUCUUGCGUAAUCUUUUGGCAACUAGGAAAAUUCUAUUUUCUUUAAUCUAUCCACAUGGUCCUUCUCGACGCGCAAGGGACACCCUCAUCAUCCAUGCAACACCCGUAUUACAAAAGUGUGCCCCCUAUAAUGAGCACCAAUAAGCGCCAUGUAAUAUUACCACAGUACACAAGUGAUUUCAAAUCUUCUUAUGGCAAGCAUUCUUAUGGAAAACAUAUUGUUAAAAUAUCUCAAAGGAAUCAAUCAUAUACCUAACACAUUUCGACAGUGUAAUGGACAUACAUUACAAAUUCUGUAAGCUCAACAACGGCAGUAUACAUUCAUGCAAAAAAAAGGGCAGUAUACAGAUAAUCCAAGGGCCAAAAGACAAACCUUGCAGCAUCAUACUUGAGCGUUGGGAAUGUGGGAGGCCAGAUCAUCAUAAAAGGAUGGAUAUUAAAACCCAAACGACCAUUUUUUGCUUCAUACACCUUACGCAGUGUCCUGCACUUGAUGUCCAACUGGAGUGCACAUUCACCCAUCUUCAAGAACACAAAGUCACCAUAGUCCACCACCUGGUUCAGUGUUAGGAGUCUAUUCAUCCUCGAUUGUGCAACAUGAAUUCCUCAAGUUAGCACACAUCUCACGCAAAAAAAAGGUAUCCACCAGUGACCAGUUUCCCCCCUUGUAGAGCCAGAUGCGAAGUUGAAACUCCUCAACAUGGAUGAGAUAUACACCAGAAGCAUCAUGAGCACGUGCCAACAUAGUGGUGCCGGUGACGCCAUGCGCCACACCUUGCGGAAGCCGAAUUGUAGAGAGACUCAAGUCCGACAAAUCCAAAACAAUAAUGGCACUCUCGGCAGCCGCCAUGUAGAUUUUAUUAUCAACGAGCACAGCUUUCAGUUUCCAUCGUGGUUCAGGGAAGUUGUCUAUGUCCAAGAGAUGAUGCGUCCAUCGGGAACCAUCUUGCAACAUAUAUACGUGUAGGAUAGAUUCUGUUUCUGCGCGCCUGCUAGACUCCACAUACAAGUAGUAGUAGGACAUGCCAUCCCCUUCUUCUUUGGAAAGAACUUGUUUGAAAGUGCAGUUACGCUCGAGUCCAGGGCGUGGGAGUUGUGGGAGGUUGGAUAGAUCUCUCUCGGGGCACAACAGGCAGUGCACUCUGGCUGAGUUUCCGCUUCUGCCAUUGUACAAGGUGAAGAAGAUGCUGCCGUUCUGGCAGUCCUGGAUUGUAGCAGACCUGGCAUUGUUGGUUUCCAAUUUGAAGCUUGCACGGCGGACGACAACAGCAAGCUCUGGGGGCUGAGGCAGCACUGGGACAACACUGAUGUCAAGCCGGGCGGAAGAUCAAAGUCGUCGAUGUAGAAGCCGAGGAGGCGGGGCGGGUGGAGCUCGCGGAAACGGCGAAGGAAGGCGCGGUCGGAGGCAUGCCCUAGCCAGCGCUUGCAGACGAGGGCGGCGCAGACGAGGGUGGUGGGGAAACCGACGCGGAGAAGGAUUUCGAUGAGGAGGUCGUCAUCGUCGAGCACCUUGGAUACGGUGACUGCUGCGGCCGCCGGUGGCUGCCUCUCGCCUCCCAUUUCUUUAUUGGCGUCCGUGGGGAACGGGGUGGAGGAAGAGGAAACUGUCUGUAUACCAUUGCAAUUUUUAUCAAUCUCUAAAAUACCACUAAAUAUUUCGCUGUUGCGAAAAUACCACUACUUUGAAAGUUCACAUCCAAAAUACCACUAAAUAUGUACUAACUGAAGCUAGCAGGGCAUGGAAAAGACAAUUCAGCCGUACCUGUUCACAAGAUGGAUUCUUCAUGCCUUGUCUCCUUUUGUCACAUCAAUUUUCAGCAGCAUAACGGCUGUAUAACAGCAAGAUGACAUACCUAAACCCUAACAUUUUAAAGACGAUAUAAGCGCAGCACCUUUAACAGAACUACAAAAGGACUGUCCGAUGUUCAGAGUUCACACACACAAGCAAAAGACACGACAAAUAAACUCUAGAAAUGAAAGAGGAGGAGAAAGGGAUUCACACUUGGCCGAAAUUUCUUCCAAGAUCGCCAUGGACGAAGGCUGCAGCGCUUGUGGGGCGACGGUGGAAGAGGGCCUGGGGCCGGUGCCGAACAG